UGCGUAGGCGGGACAUUAAGUCAGUGGUGAAAGCCCCGAGCUCAACUUGGGAACUGCCAUUGAAACUGAUGUUCUUGAAUAUAGUUGAGGUAGGCGGAAUACAGCAUGUAGCGGUGAAAUGCAUAGAUAUGCUGUAGAACACCAAUUGCGAAGGCAGCUUACUAAACUAUUAUUGACGCUGAGGCACGAAAGCGUGGGGAGCGAACAGGAUUAGAUACCCUGGUAGUCC
rnacentral:rRNA from 1 species